AUUGAACRCUGGUGGCAGGCCUAACACAUGCAAGUCGAGCGGCAUCGAGUGAKCGCAGUUUACUGAGUUCAUGUCGGCGAGCGGCGGACGGGUGAGUAAAGUCUGGGAAUCUGGCCGAAGGAGGGGGAUAACUGCUGGAAACGGCAGCUAAUACCGCAUGAAGUCGCGAGACCAAAGUGGGGGACCUUCGGGCCUCACGCCUUCGGAUGAGCCCAGAUGAGAUUAGCUGGUAGGUAAGGUAAAGGCUUACCUAGGCGACGAUCUCUAGCGGGUCUGAGAGGAUAKCCCGCCACACUGGAACUGAGACACGGUCCAGACUCCUACGGGAGGCAGCAGUGGGGAAUAUUGCWCAAUGGGCGAAAGCCUGAUGCAGCC
rnacentral:rRNA from 1 species